AACAUAUUAAAUAAUUAAAUAUCAGACACACUUAAUUUCUUAUUUUUUAGAUGAAGAUGAAUCUAAAUAGUGGUUCAAGUAUGUUCUUUGUUCACCCUAGUGGAUCAUCUUGGGUGUGCUUCUCAGCACCGGAGAAGUUCCUGGAGUGCUUCCUCAGACCGGAACUCUACGACCUGCUCCUGUAUCAGCAGUGCUUGCCCCUGACAGAUGAUGAUCGUGGGGGACCAGGAGCCUCUAGACUUUGAGACAAGUUGCCUGCACUCACCGGUUGGAGUUUUUUCCCUCCCCAGCACCCCCUGCUGAUGUGCUUUCUUAUGUACUGACAGUGAGCCCCAAAUUCAUACAUUGAAGUUCCAACUCCCAAAGUAUUUGGAGAUGGGCCUUUCAGAAGUAAUUGAGUUUAGAUGAUGUCAUGAGGGUGGAGCCCCAAUGAUGAAAUUAAGUUCUUCUAAGGAAAGGAAGAGAGUCUGAGCCCUGCUCUACACCAUGUGAGGGCACAAAGAGAUAGCAGCCAUCAACAAGCUGGGAGAAGAGGACUGAGAAUGAAACCUACCUCACCAGAACCUUGUCAUAUCCCUUCCCAGUUUCCAAAAGAGUGAGAAAUCAAUUUCUGUUGUGUAAGCCACUCAGUCUAUGAAAUUUUGUUAUGGCAGCCAGAGCAGAUUAAUGCAUGCUUCUUGGACUUUAUUUUUAAUUCAAUAUGAAAAACAUAUGUUUUAAUAAAAAAAUUACCCCAUUCA